AUGAAGGUUGUAUUGAGAGCUCUUGAAAUACUCUUCCAGCAAAUGCCAUGCUUCAGGUGCUGUGUCAGCUGGAGCCUUCUGUGUGCCGGUUUGCCUCGCAGAUGGCACUGUACCCAAUCCACAAUGCUGUGUCUUAGUGAUUCUGAGCACCUCUAACGUCGAGAAUGCUGUGUUAAAAGUCCUAGUAGGUCUAACAUUCUUGGGCAUGUUGACUAGUCCUGUGCGGAGCAACAUGCUUUGGAAAUAGGACAGAAAUUGGAGCAACAAAAUGUGGGGGAUGCAGGUAUUUCUUAAGGCUUAAAUUAUAUCUCAUGUCAUAACAUGCAAGUGUUGAAAUGCACAUUUGACAUAAAUGAGUUACACAAAAUUAAUAUUUCUUCCUUGCAAACUCAAGAAGCAACCACACGAUACUCUGGCAAGAUUCCUUGUUUUUCAACAGACACACAUGUAUAUAAAUUUUUUUAUAUAUAUAUUUACAUACAUGAACUGUUUACUGUUCAUUCUCUCGUUUAUUUACUGAAAAGGAUACGCAGCAGUAAAUGUAAAGGAAGAAUCUCACUAACAUUCUGAUUUUUGACUACAGAUGUCAGAAUCGAACAACCUUUGUGGGAAAGAGAUGCUAUCUGAGAUCUGAAUCACUGCAAAGCUGCGGAUUCGAAGAACAAGAACCACCACUACCACUACUCCAGCCCUAAUAAUACACAAUUGCCGUGAACCAAGACCUCUAAUGCAGCGUAGGUGUGGCAAGAGCCAAAGCCUUUGUGUAGUGCCGAGCGGGUUUGAGGCGAAAAGCCUGGCUGUGAAGAGAGAGAGAGAGCAUGGACCACUCCAACUCCAACUAGUUGAACCACUUCCAAACAGCCUCCAUGGCUAGGAUUUCCACAACAAGCCGGGAGGGACUUCCACUUAAGGGGUAUAUUCCUCUUGCUUCGGAUGAACUCCACGAAUUCGAUACAAAGCAAGCUGUUCCAUUUUACAUGCAGGAAAAUCACACACAUAACCACCAGAUAUUUUGCUUAGCACUCUGGAGUCCACUCAUUCUUCUUCCAGUAGUUUCCUUCCUUUCUCUUGCUACUUGAAGCUUUUGAAAAGCAUGGAUGAGUUGGGUUUGUAACGCACUCUUCCAGUGUACAAUUGGGGCAUUGGCAAAGCUGGACAACAUCAUUUUGCAAAAA